UAUAUUCUAAUAGCUUAACCCACAAGGCAUUGGCCU
rnacentral:tRNA from 1 species